GGUAUUUUGACCGUGCAAAGGUAGCAUAAUCAUUAGUUUUUUAAUUGAAAGCUGGAAUGAAAGGUUGGAUGAAAAAUAAGCUGUCUCUAUUUAAAUUUAUUAGAAUUUUAUUUUUAAGUUAAAAAGCUUAAAUUUUAAUAGAAGACGAGAAGACCCUAUAGAGUUUUAUUUAUUUAAUAAAUAAAAAUAAUAGUAUUAAUUAUUUUUAUUUAUUAAAUAAAUUUAGUUGGGGUGAUUGAAAAAUUUAAUGAACUUUUUUUAUAUAUAUACAUUGAUUUAUGAUUAUUUGAUCCUUAGUUUAAGAUUAAAAGAUAAAAUUACCUUAGGGAUAACAGCGUAAUUUUUUUUGAGAGUUCUAAUCGAAAGAAAAGAUUGCGACCUCGAUGUUGGAUUAAAAUAAAAUUUUGGUGUAGAAGCUAAAA
rnacentral:rRNA from 3 species